rnacentral:rRNA from 1 species
CUUACACAUGCAAGUCGAACGGAAAGGCCCUGCUUUUGUGGGGUGCUCGAGUGGCGAACGGGUGAGUAACACGUGAGUAACCUGCCCUUGACUUUGGGAUAACUUCAGGAAACUGGGGCUAAUACCGGAUAGGAGCUCCUGCUGCAUGGUGGGGGUUGGAAAGUUUCGGCGGUUGGGGAUGGACUCGCGGCUUAUCAGCUUGUUGGUGGGGUAGUGGCUUACCAAGGCUUUGACGGGUAGCCGGCCUGAGAGGGUGACCGGCCACAUUGGGACUGAGAUACGGCCCAGACUCCUACGGGAGGCAGCAGUGGGGAAUAUUGCACAAUGGGCGGAAGCCUGAUGCAGCAACGCCGCGUGCGGGAUGACGGCCUUCGGGUUGUAAACCGCUUUCGCCUGUGACGAAGCGUGAGUGACGGUAAUGGGUAAAGAAGCACCGGCUAACUACGUGCCAGCAGCCGCGGUGAUACGUAGGGUGCGAGCGUUGUCCGGAUUUAUUGGGCGUAAAGGGCUCGUAGGUGGUUGAUCGCGUCGGAAGUGUAAUCUUGGGGCUUAACCCUGAGCGUGCUUUCGAUACGGGUUGACUUGAGGAAGGUAGGGGAGAAUGGAAUUCCUGGUGGAGCGGUGGAAUGCGCAGAUAUCAGGAGGAACACCAGUGGCGAAGGCGGUUCUCUGGGCCUUUCCUGACGCUGAGGAGCGAAAGCGUGGGGAGCGAACAGGCUUAGAUACCCUGGUAGUCCACGCUGUAAACGGUGGGUACUAGGUGUGGGGUCCAUUCCACGGGUUCCGUGCCGUAGCUAACGCUUUAAGUACCCCGCCUGGGGAGUACGGCCGCAAGGCUAAAACUCAAAGGAAUUGACGGGGCCCCGCACAAGCGGCGGAGCAUGCGGAUUAAUUCGAUGCAACGCGUAGAACCUUACCUGGGUUUGACAUGGAUCGGGAGUGCUCAGAGAUGGGUGUGCCUCUUUUGGGGUCGGUUCACAGGUGGUGCAUGGCUGUCGUCAGCUCGUGUCGUGAGAUGUUGGGUUAAGUCCCGCAACGAGCGCAACCCUUGUUCACUGUUGCCAGCACGUUAUGGUGGGGACUCAGUGGAGACCGCCGGGGUCAACUCGGAGGAAGGUGGGGAUGACGUCAAGUCAUCAUGCCCCUUAUGUCCAGGGCUUCACGCAUGCUACAAUGGCUGGUACAGAGAGUGGCGAGCCUGUGAGGGUGAGCGAAUCUCGGAAAGCCGGUCUCAGUUCGGAUUGGGGUCUGCAACUCGACCUCAUGAAGUCGGAGUCGCUAGUAAUCGCAGAUCAGCAACGCUGCGGUGAAUACGUUCCCGGGGCUUGUACACACCGCUCGUCAAGUCAUGAAAGUUGGUAACACCCGAAGCCGGUGGCCUAACCGUUGUGGGGGAGCCGUCGAAGGUGGGACUGGUGAUUAGG